AUGAGUGGAAGGCCGAGUCCGGGCCGCGCGCGAAGAGACCUCGCGGGCGGGGAGCAAAAGGCCGACGGGAGUGAGCGCGGAGACAGUGGCUGCAGGCGGCCCAACCCGUCCGUCCCCUCGGCCGCCGCCGGCCUGAGCCACAACCAGAUCCCGCCGGGGCUCACGGAGCUGCUGCAGGGCUACACCGCGGAGGUGCUGCGACAGCAGCCGCCUGACCUCGUGGAAUUCGCAGUGGGCCACUUCACCCGCCUGCGCGAGGCCCGCGCCCGUGCCUCUGCCCUGCCCGCCGCCACCCCAAGCCAGAGCCCGGGCCACACCGCGCCAGAACCCGGCCCGGACCACGUCCCCGACGCCAACGGGGACAGCGAGGCGGAGGAGGACGAGGACUUGGACGUUCCUAGCACAUUUAAUAGACGAGUAACAGUCUGUGCUGAGACCUAUAACCCUGAUGAGAAAGAGGAAGAUCCAGAUCCAAGGGUGAUUUCAUCCUAAAACCGAUGAACAGAGACGCAGACUUACAGGAAACUUGCAAAGAUAUUCUCCCUGUCAAAAAUCUUGAUCAGGAACAGCUUUCUCAAGUUCUUGAUGCCAUGUUUGAAAGGAUAGUCAAAGCUGGUGAGCAUGUCAUUGACCAAGGAGAUGAUGGAGACAACUUUUAUGUCAUAGAAUGGGGAACUUAGGACAUUUUAGUAACAGAAGAUAAUCAAACCCGCUCUGUCGGUCAGUAUGACAACCACGGCAGUUUUGGAGAACUAGCUCUGAUGCACAACACCUCCAGAGCUGCUACCAUUGUUGCAACCUCAGAAGGCUCCCUUUGGGGACUGGACCGGGUGACUUUUAGAAGAAUCAUAGUGAAAAAUAAUGCAAAGAAGAGGAAGAUGUUUGAAUCAUUUAUUGAGUCUGUGCCCUUCCUUAAAUCACUGGAGUUGUCAGAACGAAUGAAGAUUGUGGAUGUAAUAGGAGAUAAGAUCUAUAAGGAUGGAGAAUGCAUAAUCACUCAGGGUGAAAAGGCUGAUAGCUUUUACAUCAUAGAGUUUGGUGAAGUGAGCAUUUUGAUUAGAAGCAAGACUAAAUCAAACAAGGAUGGUGGAAACCAGAAGGUCCAGAUUGCCCGUUGCUUUAAGGGGCAGUACUUUGGAGAGCUUUCCCUGGUCACCAACAAACCCAGAGCUGCUUCAGCUUAUGCAGUUGGAGAUGUCAAAUGCUUAGUUAUGAAUGUACAAGCAUUUGAGAGGUUUCUGGGGCCCUGCAUGGACAUCAUGAAAAGGAACAUCUCACACUAUGAGGAAAAGCUGAAGAUGUUUGGCUCCAGCAUGGAUUUGGGCAACCGCGGGCAGUAGCAUGGGGAAUCAAAGGUGGCAGACCAAGUUCAACUCAGGGCUGAGGUAUCCACAUUGUCCACAUCAGGCAAGCCCUGCACUGAUGGUUGAGCCUCAUGGAGAGGAGCAUGUGUUGGGAAGAGAUCCCUUUGUUAACUAUUUUAUGUUCUCUUCAAUGAGUUAGUGCUCAUACCCCAUUUCUGGCUUUGCUGUUGAUUUUGGAUGGUAGAGAAUAUUCCUGAGACCCUUCCUUUUGGCCCCCAGCAUAUCCCACCCACUCUCUUCUCUUGGUCGAAUUCUCUGAAGAAAAGGUACAUGUGCUGUUGUCCAGUUAGUCAAUAGUCUUCAUAUAUAAUUGUGUUAUAUAUAUUGCUGUAGACUCUCAGAAAUCCGGGUAGAGCUUUCCCUUUGAACAGUUCAAUGAGUGAAUUCAGCAGCAAAGUGACAAGAAAUGCUUACCCAGCUAGGAGAGGUUAUGUUUAUCCUCUAAUUGCCCAUUUUCUCUGUGCACAGCGAUACUGUAUUCAGUGAGAGGUGCUGUUAGCACCUGUGUCACAGUGUACAAGCUUCUCUCAUUUAGAAAAAAAAGCAUUUUACACAGAGAAAAAGUAAGAAGACUCAUGAAUGCCAUCUUCUAUCUUUUCUUCUCAGUUGGCUGAUGUUGGAAUUUUUGUUCUUGUCAUGCACUUGUAAACCAAUCUUGCCAAGAUAUGAGUUGUUUUGGUUUUUCACUAUGAUUACCUCUUGUUCCUCCUGUCUUGACUGCUGGCGUUCCUCAAUUCUUCUAUUGUCUAUUUUAUGGGAAGCAGCUUUCCUAUAGGUUUCCUUUUACACACUGCAGGGCUAUCUUUAUACUUAAAAAAAAAAAAAAAAGGACAAGAACAGUCACUAACCUCAUGGGGGCUUUCAUAAAACCAUUUAGUCCACCUUGAGCAAAGGGUAGAUUCCAUGUUUUUUUAAAGCUCACUGUAAUGAAAGAAAUCUGAUUCAGCGUUAUUGUGCUACCUCAACGGUAAAAAAUGUUUUAAGGUCUUCUUUUGGUCCUGAGUUCUACAUAUAGUGUUUGAAAUGUCUUUCAAUUGGAAUUAUUUUUUAAAUUAUUGGGGUGAAUUUUAUUUUAACCAGUUUUAAACUUGUAUUUUAAUCUCAGAAUAAGUGAUUGGUGAUUGAAAAGAGAUCAAUUCUUGCUCUAUGGUGUGAAAAAUAUAAUGAACAGUCAUUAAGAAUUAAGUCUGUUUGCCAUAAAUAAGGUUGAUGUUCUUCUUGUUUUUGUUAAGGAAACUCUAGGGCUUGGCUUUACUCUUGAUUAAUAAAGGCUGACAAAUUAUGUCUGAAAAAAA